UAAUAGUGUAUAUUAAAGUUGUUGCAGUUAAAAAGCUCGUAGUUGAAUGUUGGUGUCGAACGAGCGGUCAGCUUCGGCUGUACUGCUCUCUCGACUCCUUCCUUCUGUGGACUACGUCGCACUUUACUGUGUGGCGCUAGGACGCAGAUCGUUUACUGUGAAAAAAUUAGAGUGUUCAAAGCAGGCCGUACGCUUGAAUACAUUAGCAUGGAAUAAUGGAAUAGGACGUCGGGCCUAUUUUGUCGGUUCUAGGACCGUCGUAAUGAUUAAUAGGGACAGUUGGGGCCGUUUAUAUUCCGUAGUCAGAGGUGAAAUUCUUGGAUUUACGGAAGAUAAACUACUGCGAAAGCAUUCGGCAAGGAUGUUUUCGUUAA
rnacentral:rRNA from 1 species